rnacentral:rRNA from 1 species
UACGGAGGAUGCAAGCGUUAUCCGGAAUUAUUGGGCGUAAAGGGCUCGUAGGCGGUUUGUCGCGUCGGGAGUGAAAACACCGGGCUUAACUCGGUGCUUGCUUUCGAUACGGGCAGACUAGAGGCAUGCAGGGGAGAACGGAAUUCCUGGUGUAGCGGUGAAAUGCACAGAUAUCAGGAGGAACACCGGUGGCGAAGGCGGUUCUCUGGGCAUGUCCUGACGCUGAGGAGCGAAAGUGUGGGGAGCGAACAGG